GAUGAACGCUGGCGGCGUGCUUAACACAUGCAAGUCGAACGGAAAGGCCUCUUUCGGGGGGUUCUCGAGUGGCCAACGGAUGAGUAACACGUGAGUAACCUGCCCUUGACUUUGGGUUAACUUCAUUCAACUGGGGCUAAUACCGAAUAGAUGCUCCUGCUACCUGCUGGGGGUUGGAAAGUUUCGGCGUUUGGGGGUGGACUCGCGGCUUAUCAGCUUGUUGGUGGGACAGUGGCUUACCAAGGCCUUGGCGGGUAGCCGGCCUGGGAGAGUGACCGGCCACAUUGGGACCGAGGUAAGGCCCCGGCUCGUAAGGGGGGCAGCAGGGGGGAAGAUUGCACGAUGGGUGGAAGCCUGAUGCAGAAGCGCCGUGUGCGGGAAGACGCCCUUCGGGUUGUAAACCGCUUUCGCUCAUGACGAAGCUCUGUGUGACGGUAGUGGGUAAAAAAGCACCGGCUAACUACGUG
rnacentral:rRNA from 1 species